AAGGGUACCGUAGGCGGUUUAAUAAGUCAGUGGUGAAAGCCCAUCACUCAACGGUGGAACGGCCAUUGAUACUGUUAAACUUGAAUUAUUAGGAAGUAACUAGAAUAUGUAGUGUAGCGGUGAAAUGCUUAGAGAUUACAUGGAAUACCAAUUGCGAAGGCAGGUUACUACUAAUGGAUUGACGCUGAUGGACGAAAGCGUGGGUAGCGAACAGGAUUAGAUACCCUAGU
rnacentral:rRNA from 1 species